rnacentral:lncRNA from 1 species
GCUGGUAUUUGUAAUUGAAAUUGUGGGUACUGUUUGCCUUAUUAGAUUAUUCUCUUGGAUUAACUUCCUGGAAUGCAACACUAGGACAAGCUCACUAAUAAGCACAAGGAACCUUCCUGAGAUCAUUGUUGGAUAAAAGAAACCCUCCUCUUAGGUUCUGACAGUUAAAAUAUAUAUUCAUGGGAUCAGGAGAACAGAAUCAUAAUUAUAUUAGUAAAACAGCUCACCUCAAUGAUUCCUAUUAUGGGUCUUUAGUCAUCGAAUAAGAAGUAGAAUAUCUAGAGGCUGGCGGCCCCUUCUGUCUAAAACAUUAGGAUUUUGUUAUCCCUUUUCUUUACAUGCAGCUUGCUUCCUGUGAUGGUGUUUGUCUGAGAACAAAGAGUGCAAUUUUUUUUAAAUCUAUUAAUUUUCUAUGCUGCUGUAACAAUCAACUUUGUAGUGUAAAACAACACCCACUUAAGAUCUCACCUGUUUGUAGGUCAGACGUCCAGCAGACUUGACUGGAUACUUUGCUUAGAGCAUCACAAGCCCGGAAUAAAGACGUCAGCAAGGCUAUGUUCUGUUCAGGAGGUUCUGAGGGAAGAAUCGGCUCCCAGGCUCGCUCAGGAUGUUGGCAGAAUUCAGUUGUAUGCAGUGUAGGACUGAGGUUCCCCAUGUCCUCAUUGGGUUGUUCUCAGCUUCUCAAGGUUACCCGCAUUCCUUGGCUUGUGGAGAAAGUUCUCUGCUUUUAAAGACUCCGGUGAUUACUUUGGGUCCACCUGGAUAACCCAGGCUAAUGUCUAUAUUUGAAGUGUUACAGGGCGUAGAAGAGUUCUCUUUAUCUGACUAAAUUUGACCAAAAUGUAAAAGCUUCAUUCAACAAGUAUUUAUUGAGCACCUGCUGUAUGCCACAGUGUUCUGGUUACCAGACUGACAGAGAACAACAACAAAAGGAACUUGCUUCAUGGAGCUUAUUUUUAACAGUGAGACAGACAAGAAAACAAAUGAACAAAUAGACAAAUGAUAUGAGAGGAC